ACCUAGUUGAUGAGUCCAAAAAAGGACGAAACAUGUGUCCUUGAU
rfam:Schistosoma curassoni strain Dakar, Senegal genome assembly, scaffold: SCTD_scaffold0000117